rnacentral:rRNA from 1 species
AGUGAACGCUGGCGGUAGGCCUAACACAUGCAAGUCGAACGGCAGCACAGUAAGAGCUUGCUCUUACGGGUGGCGAGUGGCGGACGGGUGAGGAAUACAUCGGAAUCUACUUUUUCGUGGGGGAUAACGUAGGGAAACUUACGCUAAUACCGCAUACGACCUACGGGUGAAAGCAGGGGAUCUUCGGACCUUGCGCGAUUGAAUGAGCCGAUGUCGGAUUAGCUAGUUGGCGGGGUAAAGGCCCACCAAGGCGACGAUCCGUAGCUGGUGUGAGAGGAUGAUCGGCCACACUGGAACUGGGCCACGGUCAAGACUCCUACGGGAGGCAGCAGUGGGGAAUAUUGGACAAUGGGCGCAAGCCUGAUCCAGCCAUACCGAGUGGGUGAAGAAGGCCUUCGGGUUGUAAAGCCCUUUUGUUGGGAAAGAAAAGCAGCAGGUUAAUACCCCGCUGUUCUGACGGUACCCAAAGAAUAAGCACCGGCUAACUUCGUG